AAGUGGGAUUGACGCUGGCCUUCCGAGGCAUGUGCUCGUCCUCGCUCAUCCACUCACAACACCUGUGCACUGUUGAGGUGUGGCCCCCCUUCAAUGGAGCCGUUCCCCCCUAGGGGGUCGAGCCGGGGUCAGGCCUUCUUCGUCACGAACAACUUGUAAUGUCUAUUCGGAAUGUAAUGCUUCAUGUUAAUGAAACAAUACAACUUUCAACAACGGAUCUCUUGGCUCUCGCAUCGAUGAAGAACGCAGCGAAAUGCGAUAAGUAAUGUGAAUUGCAGAAUUCAGUGAAUCAUCGAAUCUUUGAACGCACCUUGCGCUCCUUGGUAUUCCGAGGAGCAUGCCUGUUUGAGUGUCAUGAAAUUCUCAACCCUCCUCACUUUUGUGUGAAGGGCUUGGACUUGGGGGAUUGUUACUGCUGGUCUCUUCUGAUCGGCUCCCCUUGAAUGCAUUAGCCCGGGACCUUUGCCUCCCAGCCAGUUUCACGGUGUGAUAGUCUAUCAACGCCGGUGUUAAUUGGUGUUCAGGUGUGGCAAGACAGCGNCCGGCUCUCUAACGGACUUUUGAAGUCAACUCUACCCAAUCUGACCUCAAAUCAGGUAGGACUACCCGCUGAACUUAAGCAUAUCAAUA
rnacentral:rRNA from 1 species